UACGUAGGUGACAAGCGUUGUCCGGAUUUACUGGGCGUAAAGAGCGCGCAGGCGGUCGAUCAAGUCGAGUGUGAAAGCCCCCGGCUCAACUGGGGAGGGUCAUUCGAUACUGAUCGACUCGAAGGCAGGAGAGGGUAGUGGAAUUCCCGGUGUAGUGGUGAAAUGCGUAGAUAUCGGGAGGAACACCGGUGGCGAAGGCGGUUCUCUGGGCCUUACCUGACGCUGAGGAGCGAAAGCGUGGGGAGCGAACAGG
rnacentral:rRNA from 1 species